UACGUAGGGUGCAAGCGUUGUCCGGAAUUAUUGGGCGUAAAGAGCUCGUAGGCGGUUUGUCGCGUCGGCUGUGAAAACUCGGGGCUCAACCCCGAGCCUGCAGUCGAUACGGGCAGACUAGAGUACUGCAGGGGAGACUGGAAUUCCUGGUGUAGCGGUGAAAUGCGCAGAUAUCAGGAGGAACACCGGUGGCGAAGGCGGGUCUCUGGGCAGUAACUGACGCUGGAGGAGCGAAAGCGUUGGGGAGCGAACAGG
rnacentral:rRNA from 1 species